rnacentral:rRNA from 1 species
ACUCGCACAAGCGGUGGAGCAUGUGGUUAAUUCGAAGCAACGCGAAGAACCUUACCAGGUCUUGACAUCCUUUUGAAUAUACUAGAGAUAGUAUAGGCCUUCGGGACAGAAGAGACAGGUGGUGCAUGGUUGUCGUCAGCUCGUGUCGUGAGAUGUUGGGUUAAGUCCCGCAACGAGCGCAACCCUUAUCUUUAGUUGCCAUCAGGUAAUGCUGGGCACUCUAGAGAGACUGCCGGUGACAAACCGGAGGAAGGUGGGGAUGACGUCAAAUCAUCAUGCCCCUUAUGUCCUGGGCUACACACGUACUACAAUGGCCGGUACAAAGGGCGGCGAAGGGGUGACCCGGAGCAAAUCCCAGCAAAACCGGUCUCAGUUCGGAUUGUAGUCUGCAACUCGACUACAUGAAGUCGGAAUCGCUAGUAAUCGCAGGUCAGCAUACUGCGGUGAAUACGUUCCCGGGCCUU